CAAUACUUAGUGGCAGACGGGUGAGUAACAUGUAGGUAUCUACCCUUUGGCCUGGAAUAACACGAGGAAACUUGUGCUAAUACCGGAUAAGUCUUUACGGAGAAAGCUUUAUGCACCAUUGGAUGAGCCUGCACUUGAUUAGUUUGUUGGUGGGGUAAUGGCCUACCAAGACUUUGAUCAAUAGCUGAUUCGAGAGGAUGAUCAGCCACAUUGGGACUGAGACACGGCCCAAACUCCUACGGGAGGCAGCAGUGGGGAAUCUUGCACAAUGGAGGAAACUCUGAUGCAGCGAUGCCGCGUGAGUGAAGAAGGCCCUUGGGUUGUAAAGCUCCUUCGUCGGGGAAGAAAAUGACUGUACCCGAAUAAGAAGGUUCGGCUAACUUCGUGCCAGCAGCCGCGGUAAUACGAAGGGACCUAGCGUAGUUCGGAAUUACUGGGCUUAAAGAGUUCGUAGGUGGUUGAAAAAGUUGGUGGUGAAAUCCCAGAGCUUAACUCUGGAACUGCCAUCAAAACUUUUCAGCUAGAGUUUGAUAGAGGAAAGCAGAAUUUCUAGUGUAGAGGUGAAAUUCGUAGAUAUUAGAAAGAAUACCAAUUGCGAAGGCAGCUUUCUGGAUCAUUACUGACACUGAGGAACGAAAGCAUGGGUAGCGAAGAGGAUUAGAUACCCUCGUAGUCCAUGCCGUAAACGAUGUGUGUUAGACGUUGGAAAUUUAUUUUCAGUGUCGCAGCGAAAGCGAUAAACACACCGCCUGGGGAGUACGACCGCAAGGUUAAAACUCAAAUGAAUUGACGGGGA
rnacentral:rRNA from 1 species